rnacentral:tRNA from 1 species
AGGCUUGUAGCUCAGGUGGGUUAGAGCGCACCCCGAUAAGGGUGAGGUCGGUGGUUCAAGUCCACUCAGGCCUACCA